rnacentral:rRNA from 1 species
GCUGGCGGCGUGCUUAACACAUGCAAGUCGAACGAUGAAACCUAGCUUGCUAGGUGGAUUAGUGGCGCACGGGUGAGUAAUAUAUAGGUAAUGUGCCUCUUAGUCUGGGAUAGCCAUUGGAAACGAUGAUUAAUACUGGAUACUCCUUCUAACUCUAAUGUUAGUCGGGAAAGUUUUUCGCUAAGAGAUCAGCCUAUAUCCCAUCAGUUAGUUGGUAAGGUAACGGCUUACCAAGGCAAUGACGGGUAGCGGGUUUGAGAGGAUGAUCCGCCACACUGGUACUGAGACACGGACCAGACUCCUACGGGAGGCAGCAGUGAGGAAUAUUGCACAAUGGGGGAAACCCUGAUGCAGCAACGCCGCGUGGAGGAUGACGCAUUUCGGUGUGUAAACUCCUUUUAUAUGUCAAGAAAAUGACGGUAGCAUAUGAAUAAGCACCGGCUAACUCCGUGCCAGCAGCCGCGGUAAUACGGAGGGUGCAAGCGUUACUCGGAAUCACUGGGCGUAAAGGACGCGUAGGCGGAUUGGAAAGUCAGAUGUGAAAUCCUACAGCUUAACUGUAGAACUGCAUUUGAAACUUCUAAUCUAGAGUAUGGGAGGGGGAGAUGGAAUUAGUGGUGUAGGGGUAAAAUCCGUAGAUAUCACUAGGAAUACCGAAAGCGAAGGCGAUCUCCUGGAACAUUACUGACGCUAAGGCGUGAAAGCGUGGGGAGCAAACAGGAUUAGAUACCCUGGUAGUCCACGCCCUAAACGAUGAACACUAGUCGUCGGGAUGCUUGUCAUCUCGGUGAUGCACUUAACAGAUUAAGUGUUCCGCCUGGGGAGUACGGUC